rnacentral:rRNA from 1 species
CACACCGCCCGUCACACCACGAAGGCCAGUUGUACUAGAAGCCGGCAAUUCAACCGCAAGGAGAUAGCCGUCCAAGGUAUGACUGGUGAUUGGGGUG